CCAUCCCAGCCCCGCCCUUCAGCGCACCUGCUCCAGGCGCCCAGGACUCAAAGCACGCGGCAUCGUAUCUGCAAGGUGAGCGCGCCCGCGCCCCGGCUUCGCGGAGGCCUGCCCCCCACGUCUAGGUGAAAACAAGCACGCGUGGGGAAACAAUGAACGGCCGUUCAGCUGAAGGAAACAAUGCGUGCUUUUGGAUACAUGCAUGCGAAUACACCCGUGAAGUUCAUGACCUAUCCCCACGCGAAGUUCAUGACCUAUCACCACGCGAACUUCAUGACCUAUCCCCACGUGAAGUUCAUGACCUAUCCCCACGUGAAGUUCAUGACCUAUCACCACGUGAAGUUCAUGACCUAUCACUACCCUCUACACCUGUACUUUGUACCGCGAGGCAGGACGGGAUUGGGGAAGCUGAGCCAACGCUGGGGUCGGACUGCAUGGACUGAAAUCCCAACCCAACCACUUGCCAGCCGUGGAUCUCUGAUGUGACGCUCUCCUGUGGCUUCUCUCUGUCGUAAGCCACACUCCGGUGAAGGCCCUUUCGUCGGUCUUUUUCAAGUUUCAGAAUUAUUUCCUAAGAGCAAAAUACUUGAGGUUCCCGAGGGAAAGGUAGGCAAAACUUUACCACUUGCAUACAGAGUGCGAAGGGCUGCUCCGUGAAGGCCGUACCACUUUUCAUUACCCCUUGCUCAUGGCUUAGUGCAUCCUCCACCUCAUGAGAUCUCACUGUUGAAGAAACUUGCUAACGUGAUAAUUAAAGAUGUAUUAGGUCACUGUUCUCGUUUGUGUUUCUUUUAUUACUAGUCAUGGCUGAAUUUUAAAGAAGUGUUUAUUGCCUAUUUUUCUGUCAAUUGCUCAUUUAUACCUUCUAAAUUUUCUCUUGGUGUGUUGGUGAUUCACAGUUGGUUAGAAAGUGGACAUAAAGUAAAUAAAAUUGUUCAUAAUUUCCUUAUCCAGAAAUGAGCACUAUUAUUCAUCAGUUAUUCAUGGGAGUUCAUAAUGGGUUAUAUAUUCCUCUCCCUCUCCCUCUU